AGAGUUUGAUCAUGGCUCAGGACGAACGCUGGCGGCGCGCCUAACACAUGCAAGUCGAACGAGAGAGAGGGAGCUUGCUUCCUUGAUCGAGUGGCGAACGGGUGAGUAACACGUGAGGAACCUGCCUCAAAGAGGGGACAACAGUUGGAAACGACUGCUAAUACCGCAUAAGCCCACGACCCGGCAUCGGGAAGAGGGAAAAGGAGCAAUCCGCUUUGAGAUGGCCUCGCGUCCGAUUAGCUAGUUGGUGAGGUAACGGCCACCGAAGGCGACGAUCGGUAGCCGGACUGAGAGGUUGAACGGCACAUUCGGGACUGAGACACGGCCAGACUCCUACGGGAGCA
rnacentral:rRNA from 1 species